UGGGGAAUAUUGGACAAUGGGCGAAAGCCUGAUCCAGCCAUGCCGCGUGUGUGAAGAAGGCCUUUUGGUUGUAAAGCACUUUAAGCGAGGAGGCGUUACUCGCAGAAUAAGCACCGGCUAACUCUGUGCCAGCAGCCGCGGUAAUACAGAGGGUGCGAGCGUUAAUCGGAUUUACUGGGCGUAAAGCGUGCGUAGGCGGCUUUUAAGUCGGAUGUGAAAUCCCUGAGCUUAACUUAGGAAUUGCAUUCGAUACUGGGAAGCUAGAGUAUGGGAGAGGAUGGUAGAAUUCCAGGUGUAGCGGUGAAAUGCGUAGAGAUCUGGAGGAAUACCGAUGGCGAAGGCAGCCAUCUGGCCUAAUACUGACGCUGAGGUACG
rnacentral:rRNA from 1 species